rnacentral:rRNA from 1 species
CCCUUAGAUGUUCUGGGCCGCACACGCGCUACACUGAAGGAGGCAGCGUGUACUCCUGGAUCGAAAGAUUUGGGUAACCCGCGAAUCUCCUUCGUGCUAGGGAUUGAGGUUGCAAUUAUCCUUCAUGAACGAGGAAUUCCCAGUAAGUGCAAGUCAUAAGCUUGCGCUGACUACGUCCCUGCCCUUUGUACACACCGCCCGUCGCUACUACCGAUUGAAUGAUUUAGUGAGGACUUCGGACUGGGACCGAUGCGGCUUUCGGGCUGCGUCGGUAUUCUGGAAAGAUGUCCAAACUGUAUCAUUUAGAGGAAGUAAAAGUCGUAACA